GUCCGCAGGUGGCCAUGUAGUCUGCUGUUAAAGAGUCAUGCUCAACAUGAUAAAAGCAGUGGAAACUACACGCUAGAGUACGUUCGGGGCAGACCGGGAAUUCCUGGUGUAGCGGUGAAAUGCGUAGAUAUCGGAAGAACACCGGUGGCGAAAGCGCUCUGCUAGGCCGUAACUGACACUGAGGGACGAAGCUAGGGGAGCGAAUGGGAUUAGAUACCCCAGUAGUCCUAGCCGUAAACGAUGGAUACAGGCGUGGCUUGUAUCG
rnacentral:rRNA from 1 species